rnacentral:rRNA from 1 species
AAGACUGGCGGCAGCUUACAAUGCAAGUCGAACGGUAGCAGGUUAGUACUUGUACUAAUGCUGACGAGUGGCGGACGGGUGAGUAAUGCUUGGGAAUCUGGCUUAUGGAGGGGGAUAACUACGGGAAACUGUAGCUAAUACCGCGUAAUAUCGUAAGAUUAAAGGGUGGGACCUAUUGGCCACCUGCCAUGAGAUGAGCCCAAGUGGGAUUAGGUAGUUGGUGGGGUAAAGGCCUACCAAGCCGACGAUCUCUAGCUGGUCUGAGAGGAUGGCCAGCCACACCGGGACUGAGACACGGCCCGGACUCCUACGGGAGGCAGCAGUGGGGAAUAUUGCACAAUGGGGGGAACCCUGAUGCAGCCAUGCCGCGUGAAUGAAGAAGGCCUUCGGGUUGUAAAGUUCUUUCGGUGAUGAGGAAGGCGGUUGUUUUAAUAGAACAAUUGAUUGACGUUAAUCACAGAAGAAGCACCGGCUAACUCCGUGCCAGCAGCCGCGGUAAU